UACGAAGGGGGGCUAGCGUUGUUCGGAAUUACUGGGCGUAAAGCGUGCGCAGGCGGCUUCUCAAGUCAGGGGUGAAAGCCCAGAGCUCAACUCUGGAAUUGCCUUUGAGACUGAGUGGCUUGAGUACGAGAGAGGUGAGUGGAAUUCCCAGUGUAGAGGUGAAAUGCGUAGAUAUCAGGAGGAACACCUGUGGCGAAAGCGGCUCACUGGACCAUAACUGACGCUGAUGCACGAAAGCUAGGGGAGCAAACAGG
rnacentral:rRNA from 1 species